CGGAGGGUGCAAGCGUUAUCCGGAUUCACUGGGUUUAAAGGGUGCGUAGGUGGGCUAGUAAGUCCGUGGUGAAAUCUCUGAGCUUAACUCGGAAACUGCCGUGGAUACUAUUAGUCUUGAAUCUCGUGGAGGUAAGCGGAGUAUGUCAUGUAGCGGUGAAAUGCUUAGAUAUGACAUAGAACACCGAUAGCGAAGGCAGCUUGCUACACGAGUAUUGACACUGAGGCACGAAAGCGUGGGGAUCAAACAGGAUUAGAUACCCUGGUAGUCCACGCCCUAAACGAUGGAUACUCGACAUACGCGAUACACAGUGUGUGUCUGAGCGAAAGCAUUAAGUAUCCCACCUGGGAAGUACGACCGCAAGGUUG
rnacentral:rRNA from 1 species